CAUUUAUCCCUGCACAAGCCAAGAAGGAACCUAACCCCAUUUUUUAAAAAUUUUCCCACUUGGGUAAGCCAAACAAGACUCCAUGCCUCCAGGAUGACAGAUCAUUUGGAACCUAUCCUGUCAUUACUGACAUCAGGCACAGGAAGUGCAUAACCAUACCUCUUCAGUGAUUACCCAUACAAGCAAAAGGAAGUUUGUACAACAUGGAUUUUUAUGACACCUUGUCUGAAUUGUAGCCACUUGUGCCCCCAAAAUAUCUAUCCUGAGGUCUGGG